rnacentral:rRNA from 1 species
GACGAACGCUGGCGGCGUGCCUAACACAUGCAAGUCGAACGGAGCUAUUAUGGAAGUACCUUCGGGUGCGGAAGUUUUAGCUUAGUGGCGAACGGGUGAGUAACGCGUGAGCAACCUGCCUCUCAGUGGGGGACAACAGUUGGAAACGACUGCUAAUACCGCAUAACAUAUUCGGACCGCACGAUCUGAAUAUCAAAGCUUUAUGUGCUGAAAGAUGGUCUCGCGUCUGAUUAGCUAGUUGGUGGGGUAACGGCCCGACCAAGGCGACGAUCAGUAGCCGGUCUGAGAGGAUGAACGGCCACAUUGGGACUGAGAUACGGCCCAGACUCCUACGGGAGGCAGCAGUGGGGAAUAUUGGGCAAUGGGGGAAACCCUGACCCAGCAACGCCGCGUGAAGGAAGAAGGCCUCGGUGUAAC